GAUGAACGCUGGCGGCGUGCCUAAUACAUGCAAGUCGAGCGAACGGACGAGAAGCUUGCUUCUCUGAUGUUAGCGGCGGACGGGUGAGUAACACGUGGAUAACCUACCUAUAAGACUGGGAUAACUUCGGGAAACCGUAGCUAAUACCGGAUAAUAUUUUGAACCGCAUGGUUCAAAAGUGAAAGACGGUCUUGCUGUCACUUAUAGAUGGAUCCGCGCUGCAUUAGCUAGUUGGUAAGGUAACGGCUUACCAAGGCAACGAUGCAUAGCCGACCUGAGAGGGUGAUCGGCCACACUGGAACUGAGACACGGUCCAGACUCCUACGGGAGGCAGCAGUAGGGAAUCUUCCGCAAUGGGCGAAAGCCUGACGGAGCAACGCCGCGUGAGUGAUGAAGGUCUUCGGAUCGUAAAGCUCUGUUAUUAGGGAAGAACAUAUGUGUAAGUAACUGUGCACAGCGUGACGGUACCUAAUCAGAAAGCCACGGUUAACUACGUG
rnacentral:rRNA from 1 species